rnacentral:rRNA from 1 species
GCCUGCAUGAAGUUGGAAUUGCUAGUAAUCGCGGAUCAGCAUGCCGCGGUGAAUACGUUCCCGGGGAUUGUACACACCGCCCGUCACACCAUGAGAGUCGGGAACACCCAAAGUCCGUAGUCUAACCGCAAGGAGGACGCGGCCUAAGGUGGGUUCGAUAAUUGGGGUGAAGUCGUAACAAGGUAUC